rnacentral:rRNA from 1 species
AUUACCGAGUUUUCGGGCUUCGGCUCGACUCUCCCACCCUUUGUGAACGUACCUCUGUUGCUUUGGCGGCUCCGGCCGCCAAAGGACCUCCAAACUCCAGUCAGUAAACGCAGACGUCUGAUAAACAAGUUAAUAAACUAAAACUUUCAACAACGGAUCUCUUGGUUCUGGCAUCGAUGAAGAACGCAGCGAAAUGCGAUAAGUAAUGUGAAUUGCAGAAUUCAGUGAAUCAUCGAAUCUUUGAACGCACAUUGCGCCCCUUGGUAUUCCGGGGGGCAUGCCUGUUCGAGCGUCAUUACAACCCUCAAGCUCUGCUUGGAAUUGGGCACCGUCCUCACUGCGGACGCGCCUCAAAGACCUCGGCGGUGGCUGUUCAGCCCUCAAGCGUAGUAGAAUACACACCUCGCUUUGGAGUGGUUGGCGUCGCCCGCCGGACGAACCUUCUGAACUUUUCUCAAGGUUGACCUCGGAUCAGGUAGGGAUACCCGCUGAACUUAAGCAUAUCAAUAAGCGGAGGAAAAGAAACCAACAGGGAUUGCCUUAGUAACGGCGAGUGAAGCGGCAACAGCUCAAAUUUGAAAGCUGGCCCUUUUAGGGUCCGCGUUGUAAUUUGUAGAGGAUGAUUCGGCGAGGGCUCCUGCCUAAGUCCCCUGGAACGGGGCGUCAUAGAGGGUGAGAAUCCCGUAUGCGGUAGGUUGCCUUAGCCAUGUGAAUCUCCUUCGACGAGUCGAGUUGUUUGGGAAUGCAGCUCUAAAUGGGAGGUAAAUUUCUUCUAAAGCUAAAUACUGGCCAGAGACCGAUAGCGCACAAGUAGAGUGAUCGAAAGAUGAAAAGCACUUUGGAAAGAGAGUUAAAAAGUACGUGAAAUUGUUGAAAGGGAAGCGCUUGCAACCAGACUUGUCCGCAGUUGCUCAGCCGGUCUCCUGACCGGCGUACUCUUCUGCGGCCAGGCCAGCAUCAGUUCGGGCGGUCGGAUAAAGGCCUCGGGAAUGUAGSUCCUCUCGGGGAGUGUUAUAGCCCGGGGUGGAAUGCGACCAGCCUGGACUGAGGAUCUC